rnacentral:sRNA from 1 species
ACCAGCACAUCCCAGUUCAGCAUGAGUAAGCUGUCACUCUAACCAUGGUGAAGAUGCCUUACACAUGAGUCGCAUUGAUUGGACCACCAAGAUUUUAGUGUCGUUGACUCUUCCACCUGGCUGCUGGGCCUCAGGGUGGCUGAAAAAGCUGUGUCCCAACAAGCAAAGGCAUCUUCCUUUCAGACAGGCAGCACGAGGUGGAUAAGCUUCUUGUGCCACACAGCCCUGCUGGGAUGCCCUUCCAUACAAAAGAGAUGUGGCAGCCAACUGCAACGGAAAGACUAUGUAUAAAGAGGGUCUAAACCUUUCUUCUUACUAAGUUGACUGCCCUGGGAAUUUGCUAUGGCAACAAAAAGCUGACAGUGCGGCUGGCAACAAAAACUAGAAGCUUCUUCCCCUGAGCAGAUAUUUCAAAAAACAUCUCCAAGUUUUCUCACUUUAACCUGUUGUGAGCUGCAGAUUUGUCAUACAUCACCUAUUAUGUUGA